AUUGAACGCUGGCGGCAGGCUUAACACAUGCAAGUCGAGCGGAGAUGAGGUGCUUGCACCUUAUCUUAGCGGCGGACGGGUGAGUAAUGCUUAGGAAUCUGCCUAUUAGUGGGGGACAACAUUCCGAAAGGAAUGCUAAUACCGCAUACGUCCUACGAGAGAAAGCAGGGGAUCUUCGGACCUUGCGCUAAUAGCUGAGCCUAAGUCGGAUUAGCUAGUUGGUGGGGUAAAGGCCUACCAAGGCGACGAUCUGUAGCGGGUCUGAGAGGAUGAUCCGCCACACUGGGACUGAGACACGGCCCAGACUCCUACGGGAGGCAGCAGUGGGGAAUAUUGGACAAUGGGGGGAACCCUGAUCCAGCCAUGCCGCGUGUGUGAAGAAGGCCUUAUGGUUGUAAAGCACUUUAAGCGAGGAGGAGGCUACUGAGACUGAUACUCUUGGAUAGUGGACGUUACUCGCAGAAUAAGCACCGGCUAACUCUGUGCCAGCAGCCGCGGUAA
rnacentral:rRNA from 1 species